rnacentral:rRNA from 1 species
UACGGAGGAUGCAAGCGUUAUCCGGAUUUAUUGGGUUUAAAGGGAGCGCAGACGGGUCGUUAAGUCAGCUGUGAAAGUUUGGGGCUCAACCUUAAAAUUGCAGUUGAUACUGGCGUCCUUGAGUGUGGUUGAGGUGUGCGGAAUUCGUGGUGUAGCGGUGAAAUGCUUAGAUAUCACGAAGAACUCCGAUUGCGAAGGCAGCACACUAAGCCGUAACUGACGUUCAUGCUCGAAAGUGUGGGUAUCAAACAGG